GUGAGCCGGCGGGCGGCUGCCGGGCCUUCGGCCCGAGGAAACUCCAUCCACCGCGCAGGACCGCGGCGCCGAGAGGCGCAGGGGGAGACCCCUGGCACCGGACAGAGACGUGACCUCCCGUGGCGCGCAGUGAUGCCGUGGAGGCUGAGGACGCCACGGGCCCGGGUGAGACGGCCGACCCAGCGGGGUGAAAGGGCGAAUAGGCGUCGUCGAUGGCCUGCCUGAGACGCGGGUGGCCCGUUGAGCUGGAUGCCGCCUAGAACAGAAGGUGGGUUACGGCCGGCACAC
rnacentral:RNase_P_RNA from 1 species